rnacentral:lncRNA from 13 species
UGGUUGUCCUUCUGGAAGGUUCUCACAGAGGAACUCUGGAGCUCUGUCACAGUGAUCAUCGGGUUCUUGAAUGAUGACAACUACAGUUGUAUAGAAUUACAACUAGAAAUACAGUUGUAUAGAAUUACAACUAGAACUACAGUUUUAUAGAAUUACAACUAGAACUACAGUUUUAUAGAAUUACAACUAGAACUACAGUUGUAUAGAAUUACAACUAGAACUACAGUUGUAUAGAAUUACAACUAGAACUACAGAACUACAACUACAGUUUUAUAGAAUUACAACUAGAACUACAGUUGUAUAGAAUUACAACUAGA